AAUAAUAAUAAUUUCAUGGUAGAGGGAUCUGGGGUAAUCCCAAACCUUGGGGGUGGUGGAGAAUCAAUCUAAGGGAAAGGAGGGUAAUCCUAAUAAGAAAAAGGGGUAAAGGGUUUGAAAAAACACACUAACCAAACACUCACAAAGAGAAACAAGGAACUCAAUUCCCUUUCCCUUUCUUGAAACCCUCCAACCAAACGCCCCCUAAUAGUAUUAAGAGGAAAUCUAUUCACAUGUAUGUAAGAAGGGGGAAAAGGGAAAAAAAAAACACAAGAAAAGAAAAAGGAAAGAAAAAAAAAACAAAACAACAAAAGAACGACAUUUCAUAACGCUUCACCACCGUUUAACCUCUUCAUCAUCUCCACCCUCUUCACCAUCUUCUUCUCUUAAAAUCUUUUACAUUCUUCCUUCAUCACAACCACCAUCGUUGCCGACGACACAACCACACCGCCACUAGAGGUGACACCAUAGAAGUAGGCGGCGCAAGGAAGAAAAGGGGGGUCGUUGUUGCUGUAAUUUGGAGCAUUUGGUGCUCGAAUUAGGGGUGUUUGCAAGUUAUUUCUCAUCCCCAAUCAUCUAUAUUAGUGGAUUCCGGUUUCAUUGAGGAGCCGUAUUGACUGAGCUAGUUGGUUUGAUAUAGUUUAAAAGGUACAUGAAGGCUUAGAGUCGGGGUAUGGGCGGAGAGCAACGUCCACUAAUUUUGCGUAAAUAUAAUUAUAGUAGUUCUGUUCUGGUGCAUUUCUUAUAUAUUAUCAAUAUUUUGAGACUUAGGGUUGUAAAUAUUAAUCCACCUAAAUCUGUAUUCGCUGGGUUGUAAUAGUUUAAAAUAAGCUUUAAUUUAGUUUUGGUGCAGGUAGUUCUUCCUUAGCGAUUAUUCUCGUAAUAAUCGUGGAAUAACACGUUUGGAUUUCGAGUAGUUAUACCGGAAUUUUAUUGGUAUUUGAAUGGGUGGAGUUGUUGGAAA